rnacentral:tRNA from 1 species
AUAGUUGUAGCUCAAUUGGUAGAGCAGUGGUCUCCAAAACCACAGGUUGUGGGUUCGAGUCCUACCAACUAUG